rnacentral:tRNA from 1 species
AACUAAGAAGCUAAACCGGACCCCCAGCGUCAGCCUUUUAAGCUGAAGAUAGGUGCCUUCCAACCACCCCUAGCGG